rnacentral:rRNA from 1 species
UAUGAACGCUGGCGGCGUGCUUAACACAUGCAAGUCGAACGAUGAAGCCCAGCUUGCUGGGUGGAUUAGUGGCGAACGGGUGAGGUAACACGUGAGUAACCUGCCCUUAACUCUGGGAUAAGCCUGGGAAACUAGGUCUAAUACCGGAUAGGAGCGCCUACCGCAUGGUGGGUGUUGGAAAAGAGUUUAUCGGUUUUGGAUGGACUCGCGGCCUAUCAGCUUGUUGGUGAGGUAAUGGCUCACCAAGGCGACGAUCAGUAGCCGACCUGAGAGGGCGACCGGCCACAUUGGGACUGAGACACGGCCCAG